rnacentral:hammerhead_ribozyme from 1 species
AUCCAGCUGAUGAGUCCCAAACAGAACGAAGUGCGCAUCUUGGAU